rnacentral:rRNA from 1 species
GACGAACGCUGGCGGCGUGCCUAAUACAUGCAAGUAGAACGCUGAAGGAGGAGCUUGCUUCUCCGGAUGAGUUGCGAACGGGUGAGUAACGCGUAGGUAACCUGCCUGGUAGCGGGGGAUAACUAUUGGAAACGAUAGCUAAUACCGCAUAACAGUAGAUAUUGCAUGAUAUCUGCUUGAAAGGUGCAAUUGCAUCACUACCAGAUGGACCUGCGUUGUAUUAGCUAGUUGGUGAGGUAACGGCUCACCAAGGCGACGAUACAUAGCCGACCUGAGAGGGGGGUCGGCCACACUGGGACUGAGGCACGGCCCAGACUCCUACGGGAGGCAGCAGUAGGGAAUCUUCGGCAAUGGACGGAAGUCUGACCGAGCAACGCCGCGUGAGUGAAGAAGGUUUUCGGAUCGUAAAGCUCUGUUGUAAGAGAAGAACGAGUGUGAGAGUGGAAAGUUCACACUGUGACGGUAUCUUACCAGAAAGGGACGGCUAACUACGUG